GCAGAGGUGAGGUUGAAUAGAGAUUCCGGGCGUUCACCAAAUUCAGUUUCCAAAACCCUAACCCCUAAACCACACCUAAUUGAUUGAUUGUGAAAUAGAUUGAAUUGGUUUGCUAGUUGAAAGAUCAGAUCUUCUGUCGCUGGAAUGGGGAAGAAGAAGAAGAGAGGGGCGGUGGAUAAGGUGUGGUGCUACUACUGCGACAGGGAGUUUGAAGACGAGAAGAUAUUGGUGCAGCACCAGAAAGCCAAGCACUUCAAGUGCCAUGUCUGCCACAAGAAGCUCUCCACCGCCGGCGGAAUGGCCAUCCAUGUGCUCCAGGUUCACAAGGAACAAGUCACCAAAGUCCCUAAUGCGAAACCUGGAAGAGAAUCAACAGAGAUUGAGAUAUAUGGAAUGCAAGGAAUUCCAGCUGAUGUCCUGGCUUCACAUUAUGGAGAGGAAGAUGAAGAGAACCCUUCAAAAGCAGCUAAAAUUGAUCUACCAAUCUCCCAAAUAGGCGGUGGUGUGAUACCUCGAGCACUCGGGGUUGGAUAUCCUCCACAGCCUUUACCUCCGAAUUACAAUCCCAGAAUACCUGGGCCACCCGGUAGUUGGCAAAUUCCACCUCGUCCACAACCUUGGUAUCCUCAGCCUCCAACUGUUUCGGUUCCACUCCCUGGGCAAGCAGGAAUGCCUCAACAGCCUUUGUUUCCUGUGCACAAUAUUCAGCCCCCUGUUCCAUCUACAGCACCCCCUGGGCUUCAACCAGUAUUACCAAUUACUCCUCCGGGGAUGCCUGCAACAGCACCUCCUGUUCCUGUUUCUCAACCUUUGUUUCCUGUUGUUCCUAAUAGUAAUAUUCCUCCCCAGAGUUCUCCAUUUUCUGCUCCUAUACCUUCAAUGGGCCUUCCUUUAAGCUCUUCUUCAGACAUAAAGAGUGCAGAACCUCUCUUUGGUGGCACUUUGGCAACCAAUCAUUACGGAAUUCCAGGAACCCCAGCCAUACCUCUUGCAAAUUCACAUUCCUAUGCAUCUGGUCCAAAUACUGGAGGUCCGUCUAUAGGGCCACCUCCAGUGAUUGCAAACAAAGCCCCAGCUACACAACCCGCAACUAAUGAGGUCUACUUAGUUUGGGAUGACGAGGCUAUGUCUAUGGAGGAAAGAAGAUUGUCCUUAUUGAAGUAUCAGGUGCAUGACGAGAAUAGCCAGCAUGCUGCAAUCUUUCGAGGAUCUCCCCACUAGCUCCCUGCAAGGCUAAGAACACAAGCGUAUCGAACGUGAAUUCAGUGGGCCAAGGCAGCUCCUUUUGCGAAGUUUGUAUGAGUUCAAUUGAUGCAGCCAUUGACAGAAGGAUAUCUGAGAGCAGGCUCGCUGGUCGGAUGGCAUUUUAGAGCAUACAAACUGGGAUCAACAGCAGGAGGAGAACAUUUCUCUGUAGAUCACAACACAACUUAUUACUCAGAGCCUCUAACUGGUGCUGCUUGAUGCAAUUCUUUCUAUUUAAAUGUUGUAUCUUUUAGGAUAAAGGUGUUAGGAUAGCUCCUACUAUAAUUUAACAGAUAAUGGUCAUUUUUUUCUAUUUUUUCGAGUUUUUAUCA